GAAAUGUAUCUCAGUGUUCCUCCAGUUACCAUGAUGUGCUCUGUUCCCUUGUGCAGGGGUGCCUGGGGUGCACAUCGUGCUCCUUCGUUUGGGAGGUCUGGGAGACCUGCCCUCCCAGGGCUGCAGGGAGCUUGUCUCAGUUGUGCCCAGUUGGUGCUGACCAAGUCAUCAGACACAGCAGCAGGGGUAGUCAUUGAACUGCAGUAAUUGUCCUGGCAGCUCGCAUCCCAGGUUUGCUUCAGAGCUGAGGGUUGAGCUGAUUGCUGAGCGAUCCCUGUUCACGUGGAGAGCUUGGGCCGAGAGGCCAGAAGGAGAAGUCCUCUCCUGAGGACCAUGCAGCAGAGAGCAAAGCUGUUGGAUUUGCUGGUGACUUAAGGACAUAUAUCGAUGCUACUCUUCCAUCCCUCUGGCAGACCUGUGCCAGCUCUCUGGCUGCUGUGAACCUGCACCAGUGCUGCCAGCAUCAAUCGUCCUGGGAGCUGGACUCGCCAAGAGAGACUUUAAACUGAUCUGGCUCUGACCAGGCUCUAAGCUGGAUGAGUAAAGGCUUGAUCUCUUCCUGCUUUUAAACAAAAAAUAAAAUAAAAAUCUUUGGUUAAACAUAUUUUAUUAAAAAUCCCAACAAGAAGAAACCAGCCCAGAUGGAUUGUUGUUUGCUGUGGGAUUUGCUCCACACAUUUGCUGAAAAUCAUUUGGGAGGCCAGAGCUGUAGCAGGCUUGAACUGCUGCCUCAGGCAGUGCCUAUCCCUGAGCCAUGCAGCACCAAAGGACAGGGGCUGGGGACACAGGGUGGCCGUGGUGGGGCUCCUGCCAGCUCCUGAUGGCACGUGUGGGUACGCUAUGGUGACAGGCACAGGGCUCAAGGCCAAAGUGCUGAUGCCACUUGGCAUUUGCCAGUUUGAGGUUUAGCCCAGUGCCCCACGUCUGCUGCUGCUCAUCUCUGCUGCCUUCACUGCAGGAACAUCUGGGUGCUUUGUUCCAUGGGGGUUAAACUGGAAUAAUGUUCUGGGAGAUCCAGGCUAAGGAUGCUGGGUGAACCUUUAACUGGGCAGCAUCACUAGGUGGGAUAUGGUUGCUGUCAAGACAGGGUUUUAAAAAUACCUGGCUGGUUUAGUUGGCUCUGUCUUGAUGCUGGAGAAUGGCCUGGGCACGGUCCCUGUAAUUUUUCUGCUUCUGUGAAAGUCAAAUCCAAGCUGAGCC